GGGCGAAUGGUCUAGGGGUAUGAUAUUCGCUUUGCAUUUUCUCUUGAUUUCCUAUCUUAAAUCAUAGAAUUUCUCUGCUUGCGAAGGGUCCGGGGUUCAAAUCCCCGUUCGUCCA